CCUAGGUCUAGAUUCUUUAGGGAUAUUUUAGAGUAAUUGCUCCAUGGUACUUUAGAGAUCAUCUAGGCAUGGGGUUAUUAACCUGAGGUCCCUGAAUUUUAAAAAAAAUUCAGUAACUAUCAAUAUAAUUUUUUUGGCAAUCCCAAGUAUUUUAAACAUUUAAAAUCAUUAGUCAAAUUAGUCAAGGAAAGGGCCCAUAGGAAGAGGGACCAUUAAAACAAAAAAUGGUUAAGAAUCCUUGAUUUAGUCCAUUUUCUUAAUUGUAUCGAUAAAGAAACUUGGGCCUAGAGUGAGUGGUAGAGGAACUUGAAUGUACUCAUUGAGUGAAUUAAAGGCAAAGCUAAGAUAGCAUCCCAUGUAUUCCAACCCUGGUCCACUAUUCCUUUGCUAUGUAAUACAGAUUUCUUUUCACUAAGAAACUAGAGUUCAUUUCUAUAUGCUCUCAGAGCUUUGAGUGGAAUCUCGGAUACAUACACCCUUAAUUCUGCAUUUCCCUGAAACAUCAGCAUCACAUCAGAGCUUCUGAAGUCCCUACAGGACUGAUGGGAAGGAGUCUUCUCCAAGGAUUGAAUCAUAGGAUUCUAGAAGGACCACAGAGACCACCUGGCCCAUCCUUCUCAUUUUAUCAGGGAAGAAACUUAGAAUUGGUAUCGAGAUGACUUGCUGGAGGUUACAUGUCUAGCAAAUGGGAGACCAAGGAUGCACAAUGCUGUAUACACUUGUCAGAGUGGACAUCCAAAUCAGGUCUCUUAUGUGUGGAAACAAGGUUGUUCUUGCAGUGCCAUGGAAUUGCAUAUCGCAAAAGAAGAAGCUGGAUCAAAGCCAAUUUUCAAUUUAUGUAAUCUGCUUUCAAGGCAAAACCCAGAGUCAUUUAAAGCACUAUUCAGUUUCCCUAAAGCCAUCUAGUCUGUCCUUUUCUGGGUCUAUUUCAUUGUCCAUCUAGAGGGUUUGCCUCAAAUAGACAUCAGUCCUUGUGCUUUCUCCUUUACAGGACUUUUGAGAGGAGUGUUGAGUUAAUUAUAAAGCAUGACAAAUAUUAAUAAAUAAUAUUGUUAAUUAUAUUAUUAUUACCUU
rnacentral:lncRNA from 1 species